UACGUAGGGUGCGAGCGUUAAUCGGAAUUACUGGGCGUAAAGCGUGCGCAGGCGGUGAUGUAAGACAGAUGUGAAAUCCCCGGGCUCAACCUGGGAACUGCAUUUGUGACUGCAUCGCUGGAGUGCGGCAGAGGGGGAUGGAAUUCCGCGUGUAGCAGUGAAAUGCGUAGAGAUGCGGAGGAACACCGAUGGCGAAGGCAGCCCCCUGGGCUGACACUGACGCUCAGGCACGAAAGCGUGGGGAGCAAACAGG
rnacentral:rRNA from 1 species